rnacentral:rRNA from 1 species
UCGGGAAUUUUGGGCAAUGGGCGAAAGCCUGACCCAGCAACGCCGCGUGAGGGAUGAAGUAUUUCGGUAUGUAAACCUCGAAAGAAUGGGAAGAAUAAAUGACGGUACCAUUUAUAAGCGCCGGCUAACUACGUGCCAGCAGCCGCGGUAAUACGUAGGGAGCAAGCGUUGUUCGGAUUUACUGGGCGUAAAGGGCGCGUAGGCGGCGCGGUAAGUCACUUGUGAAAUCUCGGAGCUUAACUCAGAACGGCCAAGUGAUACUGCUGUGCUGGAGUGCGGAAGAGGCAACCGGAAUUCUUGGUGUAGCGGUGAAAUGCGUAGAUAUCAAGAGGAACACCUGAGGCGAAGGCGGGUUGCUGGGCCGACACUGACGCUGAUGCGCGAAAGCCAGGGGAGCAAACG